AUCACGCACAUGCACAUUAGGUCCCUCCAGUGGCUGACGUGGCGGAGGCUCACCCAGCGCAGAGGGACAUCGGCAUUGGAUUCAUGUAAGUGAUGGAAGGGUUUUUAUCCAUUCCAGCGCCACAGGUGGGGGGCCACAAGGCAAGGGUAGGUCACAACUUUGAUUUCCUAGCACUAUAGUUUUCCUUUAAGAGAACCUCAUUACUGCAGGUUACUAGUGAUAUCACGGGGGAGGCAUAUUUUAUAAAUUUCUGUGUCUCUAAUUAAAGGACCACUAUAGUGCCAGGAAAACACUAGUUUCCCUGGCACUAUAGGGUCCUUGGGUCCUUGGGUUAAUCCCUUACCUUUCUCCAGCGCUGGGCUCCCUCGGCGCUGAGGACUCUCCUCCUUUCCCGUCAUGGCUGAAUGUGCAUGCGCGGCAAGAGCCGCGCGCGCAUUCAGUCAGUCUCAUAGGAAAGCAUUCUCAAUGCUUUCCUAUGGACGCUGGCAUCUUCUCACUG